GUGAAGAGCAGAGCGGAGGGAAGGGCUGAGGGGAGGGGCUGAAGGCAACCUAUGAUGAAAAAAGAAAAGAAAAAAUAAGAACAAAAAAUAUGAAAAAAAAAAAAAAAAAAGAAAAGAAAAAAAGAAAAGAAAAAAAAGAAAAAAAGAAAAAAAGGAAAAAAGAAAAAAAAAAAAAAAAAAAGGGAGAAAAAAGAAAAAAAGUGCGAAAAUAAAAAGAGAAAAAAGAAAAAAGAGAAAAGAGAAAGAAAAAAAGAACAUGGAAAAAAGAGAAAAAGAGAAAAGAUAAAAAAAGAAAAAAUAAGAAAAGAGAAAAGAAAAAAAAAAUAGAAAUAAAAAAGAGGACAGAAAAAUAUGAAAAAAGAGAAAAAAAGAAAAGAAAAAAACAGUAGAUGAAAAAAGAAAAAACAAAGGAAAAACGAAUAAUGACAAGAGAAGAAAGGUAAAGAGAAAAGAAGAAAAAAGCCAAGUCAAAAAGUAAAGAAUAACUCGAAGGAAGGAGUGGAUGGCAAGAAAUACAGAGAAAGCAGUGCAUAGCACAGCAGAGCAAAGCAAGGCAAAAUAGCAGCCAAAGCCACGAGAAUCAAGAAGUCAGUGAAGAGCAGGAAAGGUAAGUUUCCCUUAAAGCAAGGGGGAAUGGUAGUGGAAGGGAGAAAAGAGAGGGGAGGGGAGGGGAAGUGAAGGAGUGGGGGGAGAGGGGGAGGAGCAGUGGGGAAAGCGGUGGGGCUAGAGGGGGGUGAGGGGGCAAGAGGGGGAGGGAGGAGGGGUGGAGAGGGGGGUGAGUAAGUGGGGGCGGUGGAGGGACGGGGUGGGGGGGGGGAGAGGGUGGAAGGAAAAAUUGGAGGUAGGGUGAGGGAAGGGGAGGGUUGAAGGGAAAAUAAUGAAACAGAGGAAAAAAGAGAAUAACAAGUAAAAAGCAAUGCAUGUAAAUACAGAGCAAGCAAGUAGGAAAGCUAGGCAUAGCACAGCAAAAGAGAGCAAAGCAAAAGAAGGCAAAGAAUGACAAAAAGCAACCUUGCAGGAAUGGAGGAAUCUGUCCAGAGCUGUGCCCCUGCUUGCCACAGGAGCUGCGCGGGAGGAGAAGAACGUGGGCCAAAAGGAAUGGAGGAAUCUGUCCAGAGCUGUGCCCCUGCUUGCCACAGGAGCUGCGCGGGAGGAGAAGAACGUGGGCCAAAAGGAGCUGCGCGGGAGGAGAAGAACGUGGGCCAAAAGGUAAGAGGAGCUCCUUUGGGUUCUGGGCUUGAAGCAAAGCUGAGAAGCCAUGCCCGGGAGGAGGUGUGGGUAGCUACAGGCCACCUUGCUAUCUCCCCAAGAGAUGAGGUGUGUGGGCUAGGCACCGGGCAGGAGUGCUGGCCAGAAGCAAGCAUCUCUGUGGAGGAAGGCAAAGGGCGGAGGAGGUUCAAGGGUAGCUACCGGGCAUGGCCUUGCUCAGCAAGGGGAGGAAAAGCCUGA
rnacentral:lncRNA from 7 species